rnacentral:rRNA from 1 species
CGGCGGACGGGUGAGUAACACGUGGAUAACCUACCUAUAAGACUGGGAUAACUUCGGGAAACCGGAGCUAAUACCGGAUAAUAUAUUGAACCGCAUGGUUCAAUGGUGAAAGACGGUUUUGCUGUCACUUAUAGAUGGAUCCGCGCCGCAUUAGCUAGUUGGUAAGGUAACGGCUUACCAAGGCAACGAUGCGUAGCCGACCUGAGAGGGUGAUCGGCCACACUGGAACUGAGACACGGUCCAGACUCCUACGGGAGGCAGCAGGA